UUUGCAAGCUAGAUCUAAUUUACCCACACCUACACGAAGUCGUUUUGCGGUGUGAGAUCGACGCAAACUUGAAGACGUGGUUGUGUGUGAACGGGGUUGACCGCGGUGAUGACGUGGAGAGGGCUUGACCGAGGAAGGAUCACUAGCUUAGUUAUUGAGGAUAGAGGGAAGGGUCGUUGGGUACGAGUAGCCUUGAGAUUUAUGUUAUUGCUAGGUGUGAACCGCGGAGGAAAUUUUGUAUUCUUUAGAACUACUUUAAUUGUUAUGGAUGUUGCUGGUAAACGCGUCGUU